rnacentral:rRNA from 1 species
GACGAACGCUGGCGGCGUGCUUAACACAUGCAAGUCGAGCGGUAAGGCCCUUCGGGGUACGACGAGCGGCGAACGGGUGAGUAACACGUGGGUGACCUGCCUCUAGCUCUGGGAUAAGCCUGGGAAACUGGGUCUAAUACCGGAUAUGACUCCACGGCGCAUGUUGUGGGGUGGAAAGCCUUGUGUGGCUAGAGAUGGGCCCGCGGCCUAUCAGCUUGUUGGUGGGGUGANGGCCUACCAAGGCGACGACGGGUAGCCGGCCUGAGAGGGCGACCGGCCACACUGGGACUGAGACACGGCCCAGACUCCUACGGGAGGCAGCAGUGGGGAAUCUUGCGCAAUGGGCGAAAGCCUGACGCAGCGACGCCGCGUGAGGGAUGACGGCCU